rnacentral:rRNA from 1 species
GACGAACGCUGGCGGCGUGCUUAACACAUGCAAGUCGAACGAAGUGGCGAACGGGUGAGUAAUACGUGGGUAACCUGCCCUCCUUUUUGGGAUAAGCCUUGGAAACGGGGUCUAAUACCGAAUAAAGGGGGAUGGGCUCGCGGCCUAUCAGCUGGUUGGUGGGGUGAUGGCCUACCAAGGCGGGGACGGGUAGCCGGCCUGAGAAGGUGAACGGCGACAGUGAGACUGAGAGACGGCCUAGACUCCGACGGGGGGCGGAAGUGGGGAAAAUUGCAGAAGGGGUGAAGGCCUGAUGCAGCGACGACGCGGGGGGGAUGAGGGCUUUAGGGUUGUAAACGUCGGUAGGUAGCGAACGGGUAGGUGGAGAAGAAGCGCCGGCUAACUACGUGCCAGCAGCCGCGGUAAUAC